ACUCUUGGCGAAGUGAGUGAGGAGCUUAUGAAACGCGUAAUUGAUGACAGGGGGUCUAAUUUAUGCACAAGUACUCGUACAAAGUACUUCAAAUAAAGCAGUUCUUCGUGAACAUUAAAAGUGAUGCACCAGUUGACUCGAAAUUUUGAGUGGAUGAAAUUUGCCAGAGGGUGAUUUUUAAUAGCUGCAUGAGUGAUCUUCAGACUGUUAAAUAUAGAGUUUGGAGGUGCAAUAUGGUUUAAAUGCGGUUUGGGAAGCCAAUGGAAAUAACAUAACGAUUUACUGAUAAAAGGAAAUGGAGAAAAUCAACACAAGCGAAGACGUAACCACUGGGUGUUUCCCCCCUGGGGAUCUUUUCGGGAACUAUUUCCUCGAGGAUCGAAGGGAAACAGUCGGGUGGAACAUGCGCUUCCUUAUCGACGACAACUCAGGAACGCCGGUAGCUGGAAGUAGCUUCACAUGGAAAAUGGAUCGUCAGAUGCAGUGAAAUUAGAUAAGUACACAUUUGCAUUAUUAAUAAAAUUUGAUUAUUAUUUUCGUGCGAAUGCCUCUUUCACUGGGUAAUUCAGGACUAUUUGCAGUGAAAUAAAGUGCGCCUGUGAUUUUUUAAAACUCACGGAACAACUCAUCGAUAACAGAUUCGUCUUUAUCACGGAAGAACACGGGUAUUAAAAAAAAUAUAUGAAAAUAUCGUAAAAAUAAUAAAGCAACUGUUCAAUGGCUGUUGGUAAGAAAAUAGCCAUAAAAAAAUCUAUGAAGAUUGGGCUUUAAGUUGGUGGGGCACAUCGAGAGUGUUGCGUGGAGACGAAUAAACGAUUGGCAGUCAGCCUCAUGCUUGUUGCCGUAUAUUUCUGUGCUAUCUAAGCAAUAUAGUCGUUGGUUUAUGUGGAGAGCGGGCAGUUAAACGUUACGAAGACUUUUAUAGGCCUGCGUGAAUCCGCGCUCACUCAACGACGGUUACGACGCGAUCUCGUCGGGACUUAUUUUAUUUUUCAUUUUUUAUUUUAUAUCUCCCUCGUUUUUCUUCCUCUCAAAUCCUUCACAGGUAAAUACAUUGCUCAGGUGUCGGCUGACGGGGAAGGGGAUGAACAUAAUGUAGGUACUGCGCGUGGUACGAUCAUGCGAUAGAUUGAAAAUCAUUGCGAUUUAAAUGGAUUUUUAUCAUCUAUUGACGCGGCAAAAACACACUUUUAAUGCCCAACUUUUUUGCACUCGCUAAUUUUACUUUUUGCAAUUUAUAUUUUAAAAUGAUUAAAUCGUCGUACAGUGCUUAAAUCACAAAUUAAAACUUACCUGGACUUUAUUCGUAUCCGGUUUUUCGAAUAAAUUUGUGAAAACGGUGAUUAUGGGGAUAUAGAGCCGCAUUUUAUAUAUUAGAUCGUACACUGCGGUUCAGUGAUUAACUGCAUUGGUAUUGGAAAUCAAUGUGUCGUUUUAUGGCUCUUCAAAGUUAUGUGUUCCACUGAAUUUUUCAGAAUUAGAAUUAAUUCAAAACUAAAUUUCAUGCAGAUUCUUAGUCGCAGAAAAUAAAGAAAAAUACUGCGAUGAGCACGUCACAGUUUUUUUCCUUAUCAAACAUUUGAGUAUCCUUAUUACUGUCAUUGAAUAAAAAAUCAAUACCCAGUAUUCAUUCGUAGCAGGUUUUGUGAAUAAACUUGUGAUAAUGAUAUUCAUGUUCAGAUAGAAACGAUUUUUUUAUUACAUCGCAUAUUAUAGUUCAACAAUUAUCAUGACUAAUGCAUUAAAUACAUUGAAAUCCACAAUAAACGUUUUCUUUUUUUUUAUUCUUUUUUUUUUCAAGCUUUAUGCUCCUACAGCAUUUGAGGAUAAUGGGGUGACAUUCUGCUUUAUAUUUUUAUUAUUAAAGUUUCACUGGACUUUUUUUUGACAGUCUGUUCCGCAUCGACUUACGCCUACUGCGCUUACCAGAUGACAAGGUGAGUGCGGCCAAUUGGACCUUCAACAAUACCACUCAAUCGUCCGCAGAAGUAUUUAUCAAUAAAUAACUAUAAGAGUUUGAAUGAAAAAA